GUUUAAUUCGAAGCAACGCGAAGAACCUUACCAGGUCUUGACAUCCUCUGACAACCCUAGAGAUAGGGCUUUCCCUUCGGGGACAGAGUGACAGGUGGUGCAUGGUUGUCGUCAGCUCGUGUCGUGAGAUGUUGGGUUAAGUCCCGCAACGAGCGCAACCCUUGAUCUUAGUUGCCAGCAUUCAGUUGGGCACUCUAAGGUGACUGCCGGUGACAAANCCGGAGGAAGGUGGGGAUGACGUCAAAUCAUCAUGCCCCUUAUGACCUGGGCUACACACGUGCUACAAUGGACAGAACAAAGGGCUGCGAGACCGNCAAGGUUUAGCCAAUCCCACAAAUCUGUUCUCAGUUCGGAUCGCAGUCUGCAACUCGACUGCGUGAAG
rnacentral:rRNA from 1 species